GACGCUGGCGGCAUGCCUAACACAUGCAAGUCGAACGAGACCUUCGGGUCUAGUGGCGCACGGGUGCGUAACACGUGGGAAUUUGCCUCGGGGUAUGGAAUAACUCAGGGAAACUUGAGCUAAUACCAUAUAAUGUCUUCGGACCAAAGAUUUAUCGCCCUGAGAUAAGCCCGCGUAGGAUUAGCUAGUUGGUGGGGUAAAGGCUCACCAAGGCGACGAUCCUUAGCUGGUCUGAGAGGAUGAUCAGCCACACUGGGACUGAGACACGGCCCAGACUCCUACGGGAGGCAGCAGUGGGGGAAUAUUGGACAAUGGGCGAAAGCCUGAUCCAGCAAUGCCGCGUGAGUGAUGAAGGCCUUCGGGUUGUAAAGCUCUUUUACUCGGGACGAUAAUGACGGUACCGAGAGAAUAAGCCCCGGCUAACUCCGUG
rnacentral:rRNA from 1 species